rnacentral:tRNA from 1 species
GUUACUGUAGUGAAGAUAUCACAUUACCUUUUCGAGGUAAAAUGAGCAGGGAUAGCAGCUCUUUAACA